GCAGUGGUGGUUCAGUGCUAGAAUUCCUCCUUUCCAUGUAGGAGGCCUGGGCUCCAUUCCUGGCCAAUGCA
rnacentral:tRNA from 1 species